GCCCUUGCUCGGGCCGGCAGGCGCGCGGCUCCACCGCCCGCCCCCCCACUCGCCGGUGGCGACUUGGCCCGCCGCCGCCCGCUCGCCCGUCGCUGAUUCCAGGGGCCACCGCCGGCGUGCCGCCCCUGCUAGGCCGCCCAGGCACGGCGCCCUUGCUCCUCCGCCUCCCUGCUUCAGGCCGAGAUCCGCCCACUCCAGGAAAGUACUACCUCGUUGACUCGGGAUGUCCUAACAGGAAGGGUUUUCUUUCACCAUACAAAGGAGAGAAAUACCAUUUACCAGAGUUUCGACAAGGUCCGGGACCAAAAGACAUGAAUCCUUCGAAGAGGCCAUCCGAAUCAUUCAUUCAAGAAGAUGAAGCAGGGAUGCAUAAACGGCAGAAGAGGGAGUGUCAGGAUUUCACCCCCAGAAGGUACCAGCUUGAUCUUUAUGAGGUUGCAACGCGUCAGAACACAAUUGCGAUGCUUGACACAGGAGCUGGGAAGACAAUGAUUGCUGUCAUGCUCAUCGAGCAUUUUGGGAUGAUCAGCAAAACAAAUAAUGACCGAAAGCUCAUCAUAUUCCUUGCGCCAACAGUUCAACUUGUCACACAGCAAUGUGAGGUGAUUAAGAGAUACACUGAUUUUGAGGUGGAGCACUAUCAUGGUGCGAAGGGUGUUGAUCAAUGGAAUGCUUACAGCUGGCAAGAACAACUUGCAAAAUAUCAGGUUGUGGUCAUGACACCACAGGUGCUGCUAGAUGCUUUACGCCAAGCUUUCUUGAUCUUAGACAUGGUUAGUCUCCUGAUAUUUGAUGAAUGCCAUCAUGCAGCUGGUAACCACCCUUAUACAAGGAUAAUGAAGGAGUUCUAUCACAGAUCUGAGCAUAAGCCAAAUGUGUUUGGUAUGAUAGCAUCACCUGUUAUAAGGAAAGGUGUCUCUUCUGAUUUGGACUGCGAAAAUCAGCUCUCUGAGCUGGAAAAUAUUUUAGAUUCCAAGAUACACACUGUGGUGGAUAGAGAAGAGAUUGAACUUUGCGUUCCUUCGGCAAAAGAGGUGAACAGAUACUAUGAGCCAAGAACUGUUUCAUUUGAAGAUUUAAGUGCAGAACUAGGAAUUUUAUAUUCCAAGUAUGAUGGGCUGAUAGCACAAUUGCAUAGUACGCUGACCAAUCAAUACAAAGAUGCUGAUCAAAUAACAAAGGAAUCACGGAGGCGUCUCUCUAAUUCUUUAGCAAAGAUUUGCUAUUGUCUUGAAGAUGUCGGUCUUCUUUGUGCGAGUGAGGCUACAAAAAUUUGCAUCGAAAGGGGUCACAGAAAGGGUUGGCUGAAGGGAGGUGGUGACGCCACCGAUCAGCAAAGUGAUGCAUAUGGAUCAGGCUUGUUUGGAGAAAAUUCAAUGAUUCAUAUGAAGUUCUUUGAGGAAGUGUUGCGUAUAAUUGACAAACGCCUCCAACAGCAACAAGGAAUGGAUGCAAUUUUGAACUCAGAGAGUGGAUGUGUGGAAGCAGCAAAGGGGGGCUAUAUUUCACCGAAGCUUCAUGAGCUCAUCCAAGUAUUUCUCUCUUUCAGUGACUUUGAUAAUGUCUGAUGCCUUAUUUUUGUGGAUCGAAAGAUUAUUGCCAGAGUCAUUGAGCGCACUAUGAAGAAAAUUGGCCGACUCGCAUAUUUCAGAAUCUCUUUUCUAACUGGUGGGAGUUCUUCUAUGGAUGCACUGACCCCUAAAGAGCAAAAAGACACACUCGAUUCAUUCCGUUCUGGAAAGGUCAACUUACUAUUUACUACAGAUGUUGCAGAAGAGGGUAUCCAUGUCCCAGACUGCUCGUGUGUAAUACGAUUUGAUUUGCCAAAGACUACCCGCAGCUAUGUGCAGUCACGAGGACGAGCCCGGCAGAAGGACUCUCAGUACAUACUAAUGAUUGAACAGGGAAAUGUGAAACAAAAUGACUUAAUAUCUGCCCUUAUGAGAAGUAAGACAUCGAUGGCCAAGAUUGCUUCAAACUGAGAGCCUGAGGAUUCACACCCCAGUUUCUUUCCCACUGAAGAAAUAAAUGAAUACCAUAUAGGCACAACAGGAGCCAAAAUAACUACUGAUUCCAGCAUCAGUGUUCUCUACCAGUAUUGUGACAAACUUCCAAAGGACAAGUACUACACCCCAAGACCCACGUUUCAGUUCACCCAUUAUGGUGAUGGUUAUGAGUGUACAGUAACAUUACCAUCUAGUGCCAUGUUUCAGCUUUUAGUAGGUCCAAAAGCAAGAAGCAUGCAGAAAGCAAAGCAGCUAGCUUGCCUUGAUGCAUGUAAGAGGCUGCAUCAGCUGGGAGCACUUGAUGACCACCUUUCUCCAUCCGCUGAAGAGCCGCAAUUGGAAAAUUUGAGCAAAGCUAGUAUCUGCUCAUCCGGUGCAGGUUUAGGUACAACCAAACGGAAAGAACUGCAUGGUACAACCAAGGUUCUUUCUAUGUCUGGCUCUUGGGCUUCAGAUAGAAGUGUUACUAAGCUUCAAGGUUACAAGUUGAAUUUUAUUUGUGAUCAAGUUGGCCAGAAAUACUCUGACUAUGUCCUGUUAAUUGAUGCAAAUAUAGCAAAAGAAGCAGCCACUUUGGAUAUUGAUCUAUAUUUGCAUGACAAGAUGGUAAAGGCUUCAGUUUCUCCAUGUGGACCUCUUGAGUUGGAUGCUCAGCAGAUGGAACAAGCAAAACUAUUUCAAGCACUUCUCUUUAAUGGUUUGUUUGGAAAACUGUUCACUGGAUCAAAAGCAUCUAAAACCCCAAGGGAGUUUAUUCUCAAGAAAGAUGAUACAUUCCUUUGGGACAAUGCAAAUAUGUAUUUGCUUUUACCUGUGGAUCCUACUCCGGAUUCUCGUAAAAGUGUUUGCAUUAAUUGGAAUGUGAUUGAUGUUGCGGCUACAACUGUUGGACUUAUGAGGAGCAUUUAUUCGGAGGACCAACAGAACCUGAUUGAUAAACUUAAGCCUGAAAUUAAUGGCGGAGAUCUCAUUCAUUUGGCCAACAAGUCAUGUAAGGUUGAUGAUCUUAGAAAUACGGUAGCCCUAGCACUUCACACAGGGAAGAUGUAUACUGCUCUUGAUGUAGCUGAUUUAUGUGCCAAUAGCACAUUUGAUGGUGCUUCUGAUAAGAAAGAAGCAAAAUUUCAGACAUUUGCAGAAUAUUUUGAGAAGAAGUACAGCAUAUUUCUUCGUCAUCCCUCACAGCCAUUGCUAGUGUUGAAACCCACUCAUAAUCCUCACAACCUUCUUUCAUCAAAGAUCAGAGAUGAAGGCAACCGUGUGGAAAACAAAAACAGGGCCAAUAGCCUUGUUCACAUGCCUCCAGAACUGCUGAUUCCCCUUGAUUUACCUGCUGAUGUUUUGAGAGUAUUCUAUUUGUUUCCGUCUCUGAUGUAUCGAAUUGAGUCAUUAAUGCUAGCCAGCCAACUAAGAAGUGAUAUUGCAUACACAGGAUCUGAUAUAUCAAGCUUCCUGAUUCUGGAAGCUCUUACAACCCUUAGAUGCUGCGAGGACUUCUCUAUGGAGCGUUUAGAGUUACUGGGGGACUCUGUACUUAAGUAUGCAGUCAGUUCUGAUCUCUUCCUCAGAUUUCCUAAUAAACAUGAGGGGCAGUUAUCGUCCAGAAGGCAAGAAAUUAUAUGUAAUGCAACACUUCAUAGGUUUGGUAUUGAACGCAAGAUACAGAGUUACAUACGUGAUGCUGCAUUCGAUCCUCGUAGAUGGUGUGCACCUGGACAGCUGUCAAUCUGGCCCUGUCCUUGUGAAUGCCCAGUAAACUCUGAGGUUGUAACUGAGGAUAUUCAUAGGAUUGAUGACAAAUCUAUAAUUAUAGGCAAGGCGUGUGACAAGGGACACAGAUGUAUAUGUUCCAAAACCAUCUCUGAUUGUGUCGAGGCUUUAAUUGGGGCAUAUUAUGUGGGAGGGGGAUUAAGAGCAGCCUUUUUUGUUCUCAAAUGGUUGCAGAAUGAGAUUGAAAUUGAGGAAGACCUGAUUGUGAAAGCCAUGUUGAGUGCUUCUGCGUGGAAUUAUCUUCCAAAAGUUGAUGUAGUUGAAUUGCUUGAAGCAAAACUAGGCUAUGUUUUUUCGGUGAAAGGUUUGCUGAUAGAGGCUCUCACCCACCCAUCACAGCAAGAAUCAGGAGCAACAUACUGCUACCAGCGCUUGGAGUUCCUUGGCGAUGCAGUCUUGGAUAUUUUACUAACGCAGCACCUUUUCUUUAGUCAUAAAGACACUGAUGAGGGGGAGCUGACAGAUUUACGGUCUGCAUCAGUAAAUAAUGAGAAUUUUGCACAAGUUGCAGUAAGGCAUAAUCUCCACCACUUUCUCCAGCAUUCUUCUGGGCUUCUCCAAGACCAAAUCACUGAAUAUGUGAAUAGUCUGGAAGGUUCAUUCAUGGACAGAACCAGUUUUUUAUCCAGUGGAUCAUCUAGGGGGCCAAAAGUUCUAGGUGAUAUUGUAGAAAGUAUUGCAGGUGCAAUUCUUAUAGACACCAAAUUUGAUUUGGAUGUAGUUUGGAGGAUUUUCAAACCUCUUCUUUCCCCAAUUGUCACACCUGAGAAUCUGGAGUUACCCCCGUUCAGGGAACUUCAUCAGUGGUGUGACAAGAGUGGGUACUUUUUAGGAACUAAGUGUGAAAAUCGAGAAGACAACAUAAUGGCUAUUCUUAAUUUACAACUCAAGGACUUGCUUCUUGUGAGGCAAGGUCGUGGGAAGAACAAAGUAGAUGCAAAAGCACACGCAGCUUCCUUAUUGCUCAGGGAUCUGGAGGAAAAAGGGCUUGUGAUUCCAAAGAAUGCCAGCAGAACAGAACAAUCUGAGAAGAAAUAUGGCAGUCCAAAACAUCGCAAGAACUUGUUUGAUGCUAUGGUCACACAGAAUAUAGCACCACCUAGGCAAAAGGAUCUAACCAUGCCAAGUACUGCUUCCUGCUCUGUUUUUGAUAAACCAUUGGUUGUGAAGGUUAAGUUGAGUAAAGGAGGGCCUCGUAUAUCAUUGUACGAGUCAUGUAAAAAGUUUCAGUGGCCAAUGCCUACAUUUGAAUAUGUGAAAGUCCAACCAAGUGUGUGCCCCUCCUCUGGUGGUUCCUCACAAAAGGUUGCGCCUCAAGGGUUUGCAUUUGCUUCGACAAUAACAUUGCACAUACCAAAUGGCGAUGUCAUCAGCCUUACAGGAGAUGGGCGCCCGGAUAAAAAGAGCUCCCAGGAUUCUGCUGCGCUGCUCAUGCUCAUGCUCUAUGAGCUACAGCGGCGAGGUAGAUUCCAAGUCCAAGAAGUAUGAGGAGCCACCACAAAUUCGUGGUUUAGUUGUGAAAAGAUGUAAUGCUACGGUGAUUAUUCGCUUGGCCAUAUUGGAACAAUAGUACCACCAAACCAGCUGCCCCCCUCGCCGGUGUAGGAUAAUAAUGUAGCCGUGCUGGGCUGCUAGCUUCUGUUGUGUCCAUCUUGUGGAUUCAGACACGUCUUCUGUGGGCAUCUGGGACAGCUGUGUCCGCUGUCCGCUGUGAUGUGGGUACAUAUGCAAUUCGUAGUAACAAGCAUCAUCUCGGUUUCCAGAUUCGAAAUUUUACUAGAAA